rnacentral:lncRNA from 1 species
GGACAGUCCAUGCAGAAAAAGGGAGCAGAUUUCUUGUGAAAGGGAGUUCUGUGGGGGAAGGAACUUCUAUUCCAGGUGGAGGGGAGCAGAUUCCAGGUCCUGGCCAUCCCUGGGGAGAAAGGGAGCUCCAUUCCCUGCACGUGGAGAGGCUCCUGAGGAGAUUUCCUGCUGGGUCUGGGUUAUGUUGGUUCACUUUGGCUCCUGCCCUGGAUGCCACUUCCAUGACAUCACUUGGCCGUGGCAGCGUGGAGGAGGACGCUGUGCCCUGGAAUGCCAAGACUCCUGACUUUUGCUGCUGGAGGUCUCCAGGACACCUGGACACAUCCUCUUUGCUCUCUCUAUCCCUGUUUUCCCUGGGCAGAACUGGAAUUUUGCCUCCCUCCCUCCAGAACAUUGCAAAGGGGGUUUGAUGUCACCUCUCCUGUUGGGAAAGGAGUGAAUCUGGGAAAGGAAUAAAUUUAGGAAACAGUGAAGUUGGGAAAGGAGU